UGUUGGGUAAUACAGAAAUAAAAACAUCUAUCAAGAAGGCAUUUUAAAAAUUAGAAUUUGUAAUUCUUAGAAAAUUUCCCAGGAAGUUAUCAGUAAAAUAUCUAUAAUGUAUUAUUACCCUUAUUCAUAAUGCUUAUUUUAAAAUGAUGUCUACAGAUGGUUGCUGACUUAACAACAGUUUGACUUAUGAUUUUUUGACUUUCAGGACAUAAUCCCAUCAUAAGUGGACAAGCAUCUGGACUUUUAUGCCUGGCACAAAUACAAAUGCUUUUGUAUUUGUAUAUGACUUACAUAGUGCAUCUUAUUGUAAUUAUUGUAUACACGGAUCUCUUCUCUACUAGCCUUGUGCUCCUUCUUAGCAGGUACCAUGUCUCCUCUAUAUCCCUAGAGCCUAGCACAGCCCUGGGACAUAGUAGGGGCUGAAUGAAUUUUGAUGGAUCAACCUGACCUGGACAGACCUAUCAUGAACCUGUUUCUACAACACUCUGUACCUUUUCUGGUAGAAUUAAUUUUAAUCAAUUUUUGGUCAUUGUCAUUGCUACUUACUUCCUCUUCAGUAUUAGGUUUUGAUCUUAUCACUAAGAGAAACAGUGUAUUUUCAUGGCAAGGCACAGAGUCUGCUAGACUAAAAAUCUGCCUUUGUAUUAUUAGAUGUGUGACUUUGUGCAAGUUAUUUAAUGUCCCCAUGUCUCAAUGUCUUUAUCUGUAAAAUGGAGAUAUUGACAGUACUCACCUCAUGGGGGUUUGUGGAGGAAAAAUUGUAGCUAAGUAAUGUUAUGGUUUUAAUGUGUCCCGUCUAAAAUUCAGGUGUUGAAACUUAAUGGCCAAUGUGAUAGCAUUAAGAGGUAAGCCCUUUAAGAGAUGAUUAAGCCGUGAGGGCUCCUCCCUCCUAAAAGGGAUUAAGGCCUUUACGAAAGAGGCUUCAUGCAGUGUUUGGCUUUCUUGCCUUUCUACAUUCUGUCAUGUGAAGACAGUGCUCCUCUCCUCUGCACGAAUCAGCAACAUGACACCAUCUUGGAAGCAGAGAGCAGCCCUAACCAGAUAACCAAAUCUGUUGGCACCGUUAUCUUAGAUUUCCCAGUCUCCAGAGCUGUGAGAAAAUUAAUUUCUGUUAUUUAUAAAUUAGUCUCCAGUAUUUGUUAUAGCAGCACAAAACAGAUGGACUAAGACAGACAUCUGAUGAGUUUAACACAGUACCUUGCACAUGAUGUCUUGAAAAAGCUUUCUGGGUUUAGACAUGGAAGAUUGGAAAUUGGAGGACAAGAAGCCUGGAUAUAGCUACCCCUCUCUUUUUCUCUGGAUUGGGGAGAGCCCCUUCUCGCAGUCUUGGCAGAAGCCACUGGAUUACUCAGUGAUUUUUUUUCCCAAAAUGAAAGGAAGAGGAGGAAGCCAGCUGCAGCUUUGACACUUGUAAUUGUACCCCAGGGGAAAUGUACAGACAGAGAUGGACAUACAAAGAGGGAAGAUGAAAAGAGACACAGGAGAAGAUGGCCA
rnacentral:lncRNA from 10 species